ACCCAGUCUCACGGCAGUUCGUGACAUAGUCACGAAAUUUAAUCUAUUGGUUCGUGUUCGUGGACACGAAUUUCCCUCUUUUUUCGUGUCACUCAGCACGACUUUCGAUCUAAUGUAUUUCAAUAGGAGGCAUCUUUCGUGUCUGCACCACGUUUUUCUUUCUGCCACUCGGAAGCAUUGUUUUUUCUCAUUUGUUAUUCAUUUUUAAACUUUAAGCACUACAACAUUACAAGUUACUCAACAUUUAACCAGGAGAUUUUAUCCUUGAGUUUAUUGCUUUAUAUUCUGUAGGCUAUAACCUUUGUGCUAUGGUUUCUUUUCUGAGAAAUGCCGUUUUUCCAUCUAUUUGGUGUGUCAAAUCGGACAGUAAACUAAAUAUUACAGUACCCAUGAGCCUUAUCUACUUUUACUAUGUCGAAGACGUCAGCUAAAACUACCUGAUGACCCACCGCCGAUUCUCUUUUAAUGAUAUCCUCAUCUUUCUUUCAACACAUAAACACGAAAGUGUGCUUGAUAAUUCAACAAUACGAUGUUCAUGACCAUCAGUUUUAUUUGAUUCUCCUUCUAUUGUGAGAACGGGGGUUUAGUUGUGGUUAUUAAUUAUAUUAAAAUAAAAUAAAAAAUAAAUUAAAUUAAUUAGUGGACGCCCGCAUUACCCGUGAGCCUCAGCAUCCGUUGCUAUGGAGACGGAGCCAGUCCGCUUCGCGAUUGGGUGAUUUCUGCAGGCCGCGAAUUCUCCAUCAUUGCGCUCGAACCACUUUCCAGAUCCUGUCAAACUUCACCUUCACCCUAUAGAUACACCUGAUUCCCAAAACCCAAAGGCACUUUUAAGAGCCAAUCUCUAUCUAUCUUAAUCAUUUUCUAUCUCUAUCUCUCACAACCUCUCUGUCCAUCUAUAUUUCUAUCCAUCUCUUCAAUCUAUAUUAAAUACUGUUAUCUAUCUCAGUUUCUCUAUUUCUCAAUCUUUCCUCUCUUUCUGUCUUUGUCAGUCAGUCUGUCCUUUGUAUGUCAGAUUGAUAUAAUGCCAGGAGGGUCUACAAAAAAGAUUUGUCCCUUUUGUCAGGGCAUUUUAUUUUGCGCACAGAAGAUCUGUUGCCACUGUAAAAAGGAGCAGCCUCUGAAGCAGCGCCUCAAGAAGAAGCUUCAGAGGUUUGAUGACAGGCGAGAGGAAUGGGUGGUUGGUCAUAAGAAGAACCACAACAGUGCAUCCAUCAAGGAUGAAGCCAUUAUCAUGCUUGAGAAACUCCAUGCCAUUGGAUACAAGCCAGUUCUGCUUCUUGGAAAGGAGAACAAAAAAAAUAAAACAAGUGUGAAAUAUUAACCCCUCGCUGCACACUCUCCACCUAUGCCCAGGAUUACCUUCAGAA